AUUGCCUCCGAAUAACCAGAAGGUUGCUUAAACGACGACGUUUGGUUCAGACAGAGGCAUAUAACAAAUUUGAAUCGGUUUUUAGGUAAGGAUAUUUUCUUUUUUUUUUAUUAGUAAAAGAAAAUUAAUUUCCUUUCCUAUAUGGAUUCAAAUAUUU